rnacentral:rRNA from 1 species
UCCUACUGCCACACUACCCUGUGCAUGCCUGAUCCUGUCUGAUCUUGUAAGAUAAGCAGGGCCAUCCUUGUUAGUACUUCUAGGGGAGGCAUUUUAUAGCAGCGAUUCUCAAACUGUGGGCC